rnacentral:rRNA from 1 species
AUUGAACGCUAGCGGGAGGCUUUACACAUGCAAGUCGAACGAGUGGCGGACGGGUGAGAAAUAUAUGGGAACGUGCGCAGUAGCGGGGUAUAACUACUAGAAAGAGUGGCUAAUACCGCAUAAUAUUGGAGCGGCCGAUAUCGGAUUAGCUAGUGGGUGGGGUAAAGGCUCACCAAGGCAACGAUCCGUAGCUGGUUUGAGAGGACGACCAGCCACACUGGGACUGAGACACGGCCCAGACUCCUACGGGAGGCAGCAGUGGGGAAUAUUGGACAAUGGGGGCAACCCUGAUCCAGCCAUCCCGCGUGUAUGAGAAGGCCUUCGGGUUGUAAAGUACUUUUGGCAGAGAAGCGGUAUCUAAACAGAAAGCAACGGCUAACUACGUGCCAGCAGCCGCGGUAAUAC